UUCCGGUUGAUCCUGCCGGAGGCUACCGCUAUUGGAGUUCGAUUAAGCCAUGCGAGUCGAGAGUCUUAGGGACUCGGCGUACCGCUCAGUAACACGUGGGUAACCUGCCCUAUGCUGGGGAAUAACCUCGGGAAACUGAGAAUAAUACCCCAUAGUUCACCACGCCUGGAACGGUGGGUGGAUGAAAGCUCCGGCGGCAUAGGAUGGGCCUGCGACGUAUCAGGUUGUAGGGGGUGUAACGUACCCUCUAGCCAUCAACGCGUACGGGUGUUGGGAGACAUAGCCCGGAGAUGGAUUCUGAGACACGAAUCCAGACCCUACGGGGUGCAGCAGGCGCGAAAACUUGGCAAUGCGAGCAAUCGUGACCAGGGAACUCCAAGUGGCUGGGGUAAUACCCAGUUUUUUCUUGACUCUUCAAAGGUCUUGGAAUAAGGGGUGGGUAAGGACGGUGCCAGCCGCCGCGGUAAUACCGGCGCCUCAAGUGGUAGUCGCUUUUAUUGGGCCUAAAACGUCCGUAGCCGGUCUGGUGCAUUCGUGGGUAAAUCAACCCGCUCAACGGGUUGAAUUCUGCGAGCACGGCCAGACUUGGGACCGGGAGAGGUGUGGGGUACUCUCAGGGUAGGGGUAAAAUCCUGUCAUCCUGAGAGGACCACCUGUUGCGAAGGCGCCACACUAGAACGGAUUCGACGGUCAGGGACGAAACCUAGGGGCACGAACCGGAUUAGAUACCCGGGUAGUCCUAGGUGUAAACGCUGUGGACUUGAUG
rnacentral:rRNA from 1 species